GAUGAACGCUGGCGGCGUGCCUAAUACAUGCAAGUCGAGCGAACGGACGAGAAGCUUGCUUCUCUGAUGUUAGCGGCGGACGGGUGAGUAACACGUGGAUAACCUACCUAUAAGACUGGGAUAACUUCGGGAAACCGGAGCUAAUACCGGAUAAUAUUUUGAACCGCAUGGUUCAAAAGUGAAAGACGGUCUUGCUGUCACUUAUAGAUGGAUCCGCGCUGCAUUAGCUAGUUGGUAAGGUAACGGCUUACCAAGGCAACGAUGCAUAGCCGACCUGAGAGGGUGAUCGGCCACACUGGAACUGAGACACGGUCCAGACUCCUACGGGAGGCAGCAGUAGGGAAUCUUCCGCAAUGGGCGAAAGCCUGACGGAGCAACGCCGCGUGAGUUAUGAAGGUCUUCGGAUCGUAAAGCUCUGUUAUUAGGGAAGAACAUAUGUGUAAGUAACUGUGCACAUCUUGACGGUACCUAAUCAGAAAGCCACGGCUAACUACGUG
rnacentral:rRNA from 1 species